AAGGUAUCACAUGCCAAGUUUGG
rnacentral:siRNA from 1 species